CUUGUAGACUUCGGUCUGCUACCUCUUACCCAUGUCUUUUGAGUACCUUCGUUUCCUCGGCGGGUCCGCCCGCCGAUUGGACAACAUUCAAACCCUUUGCAGUUGCAAUCAGCGUCUGAAAAAACAUAAUAGUUACAACUUUCAACAACGGAUCUCUUGGUUCUGGCAUCGAUGAAGAACGCAGCGAAAUGCGAUAAGUAGUGUGAAUUGCAGAAUUCAGUGAAUCAUCGAAUCUUUGAACGCACAUUGCGCCCCUUGGUAUUCCAUGGGGCAUGCCUGUUCGAGCGUCAUUUGUACCUUCAAGCUCUGCUUGGUGUUGGGUGUUUUGUCUCGCCUCUGCGUGUAGACUCGCCUUAAAACAAUUGGCAGCCGGCGUAUUGAUUUCGGAGCGCAGUACAUCUCGCGCUUUGCACUCAUAACGGCGACGUCCAAAAGUACAUUUUUACACUCUUGACCUCGGAUCAGGUAGGGAUACCCGCUGAACUUAAGCAUAUCAAUAAGCGGAGGAAGA
rnacentral:rRNA from 1 species